UGGGGAAUUUUGCGCAAUGGGCGAAAGCCUGACGCAGCGACGCCGGGUGUGCGAUGAAGGCCCUUGGGUCGUAAAGCACUGUCAACAGGGACGAAAAUACCGGUGUCAAUAGCAUCGGUGCUUGACGGUACCUGUAAAGGAAGCACCGGCUAACUCUGUGCCAGCAGCCGCGGUAAUACAGAGGGUGCAAACGUUGUUCGGAAUUACUGGGCGUAAAGCGCGUGUAGGCGGUUCGUUAAGUCGACUGUGAAAGCCCAUGGCUCAACCAUGGAAGUGCAGUCGAUACUGGCAGACUGGAGUCUCGGAGAGGGUGGUGGAAUUCCUAGUGUAGAGGUGAAAUUCGUAGAUAUUAGGAGGAACACCGGUGGCGAAGGCGACCACCUGGACGGGUACUGACGCUGAGACGCGAAAGCGUGGGGAGCAAACAGGAUUAGAUACCCGUGUAGUCC
rnacentral:rRNA from 1 species